GGGGUCAGUAGUCAGUAGAGGAGCAAGGAAUAAAAUUUCCUCCUCACCCUCUCUCUCUCUCUCAACCUCGAGUCCUCGACUCACACGCAAAUCUGAAAUCUCUCGGUCUCUCCUCUCUAUUUGGAUCCAAACCAGCAGCAAAAGCAGCAAGGAAUAAAAAUCAAUUAAAACCAGAAACAUAUAAAAAUCAAAUCUUUCCUUUAUCUCUCGCCGAAAUCAAAUCAAAGUGAAAUGGUAGAAGUUUUGAUUUUUUAAAAGAUGAAGAAACCCCAAAAGAAUUCCCGUAACCUCAGAGUCAGACACAAUAAAAACAACGGAUUUUGAUUCUGUUUUAGCUCCGCAUUCCUACGGUUUCAAUCCCCGGAUUUCUCGAUCUUUUCUUUUAGACUGAUUCGAUCAAUCCAUGAAGCUUAUCCCCUGCAGAACUAGGGUUUCUUCUUCUUAUACUCUUCUGCAGAACAUCGUCAGCAUCCAGGGCUCUUUCGAUGUCAUCACUCAGCAAUCACCAUCGAAAUGGUCAGAUUCCCCUGCCGUGUCCUCACCUCUCCGAUUUCAAAUCCAGACAUGGCCACAAGCCCUUCCGAGCCCUACAGGAAUGCCUACGAGUCAAGCCACUCGGCCGUGCCGCGAUCCGCCGCGACCCGGACGAGGUCCCUCGCUGCGGCUCCUGCGGGGAAUCGUCUCGCCCCCGCCUCUAUGCAUGCGUCGCUUGCGCCGCCGUUUUCUGCCACUCGCCGCCCGAGUCGUCCCAUGCGGCCGCUCAUGCCGAGUCGAUGAUACCGGGUCACGAGAUUGCUGUCGACGUCGACCGCGCCGAGCUCUUCUGCUGUGCAUGUCGCGACCAGGUCUACGAUCGAGACUUCGAUGCGGCGGUUGUUCUUGCGCAGACGGAGGCUUCAACGCUUGGCGGAUCAACGAUGCCCGCUGCUCCGCCGGAGAAUCUGAGGAAACGGAGGAGGGUGGAUUACCGGCCCUGGGCGCCUGAUCCGAGAGAGCGCGUUUUGAUGGGAAGGUGUUCGAGUCCGUUGCAGAGGGGAGACGGCGAUCCUUCGGUGGGUUUGCCUUGGGGAUUGCGGGGGCUCAACAAUCUUGGCAACACUUGUUUCAUGAAUUCGGUCUUGCAAGCACUGCUUCAUACGCCACCACUGAGGAACUAUUUCUUAAGUGAUCGCCAUAAUCGUUACGUUUGUCAGCAGAAGAACAAUGUCAGUAAUGUUCCUAGGAAGAAUGCCAUCGGACACGAUAACAGUAGGAAUUUGCGGUUGUGUCUGGCUUGCGACAUGGAUGCGAUGUUCUCUGCUGUUUUUUCCGGUGAUCGGGCGCCGUAUAGCCCUGCGAAAUUCCUAUACAGUUGGUGGCAACACGCAGCAAACCUAGCAAGUUAUGAACAGCAGGAUGCCCAUGAAUUUUUCAUUUCCAUGCUUGAUGGUAUCCAUGAAAAUGUGGAGAAAGGCCAAUGUAGGCCCCAGAGACAAGGCAGUGGAGACUGUUGUAUUGCUCAUAGAGUAUUCUCCGGUAUCUUGAGAUCUGAUGUCACUUGUACUGCAUGUGGUUUUACAUCUACAACUUAUGACCCAUGUGUAGACAUCUCAUUGGAUUUAGAACCCAACCAAGGGAAUUCUGCAAAGAUGGUCUCUACGAAGUCGCAUCAUGCUUGCAAUGGUGAGCCAGAUUCCAUGAUUUCAAGCCAAAGCUGUGGAAUAUCUACUCUCAUGGGGUGCUUAGAUCGCUUUACAAGGCCUGAGAAACUAGGCUCAGACCAGAAAUUCUUCUGCCAACAGUGUCAGGUUAGGCAGGAAUCUCUGAAACAGAUGUCUAUAAGAAAGCUUCCACUAGUUUCGUGUUUCCACAUCAAAAGGUUUGAGCAUUCGUCAACUCGAAAUAUGUCGAGGAAGGUUGACCGCUAUUUACAGUUCCCAUUUUCCUUGGACAUGGCACCUUACCUCUCUUCUUCCAUCUUAAGGAGUAGGUUUGGAAAUCGAAUUUUUGCAUUUGAUGGAGAUGAGCCUGAUGCUACCAGUGAGUUAUCUUCAGAGUUUGAGUUGUUUGCAGUUGUGACUCACACGGGUAAACUUGAUGCUGGUCAUUAUGUGACUUACCUACGGUUAAGUAAUCAAUGGUACAAGUGUGAUGAUGCGUGGGUCACUCAAGUUAGUGACAAUAUUGUGAGAGCUGCACAAGGAUACAUGAUGUUCUACGUGCAGAAGAUGCUUUACUAUAAAGCAAGUGAAAAAGUUGUUGGUUGAUGAUACUUGAGAAAACAGAAAUUUGGUGAAUAAAUAGCUUCUUGUUCUAAAGAGUUGGAAUUUUCAAAUACAGCUGGAAACUUGUAUCUUUCGCUUCUCAUCAAAGAGAAUUUUGUGGCCAGCAUUUUAUUACACCAAACCAAUACCACAUUAGUUUCUGAUUCUAUUGGGUUGCUGACCAUCAUAGCCAAAGCAGCAAGUAUCUCUGUGAGCUCUCUGCUAAUAAUAUCUUUGAGAGUAAAUUUGUAAUUCUCAUUUGGGGAGUAAAGCGAGCCUGAAUUUUUGAGGCAUUCUCUGGCAGUUGGAAAUUUUAUUCCAUGAAGGAUCUGUAAUUACUGCCAGGUUGAAUUGUGUGCCAACCAAGUGUCCCAUAGCUACGGACAAAUCAACAGUAUCACGAGAUAUCUGGAUUUGUUUCAAAAUAUUAAUACAAAUUAUCUAACUUGGAAAGAAUGGCUGCUCGAGUUGCAAAUAGAGCGGGAGCCAUCCUUGUGUUUGUCUCUAAGUAAGGUUUAUGUUCUUUCCAAGUAACUUCUCAUUUAUGGCAUUCCAAUUCCAAGGUCAGCAACCCAGCAGGCCAGCACCCAGAAUACUUUCUCAUCCAGAAUCCUCCUGUCUCAAAUGUACAUGUACAGUUUUCAAGGUUUCUCUUUGGUCACAAGAAAGAGUAACCUAAUUUAAGAGGCCCAAGGUGAUGGUGCUACAUGUGACAAAUGUAUCUUUAUUAUUUGCAUGAAAGCACUGUUAUUGGCUCAUAAAUCAAAACCUGGACUUAAAAUACAAGUUCCCAAUUCAUUUUUGAA